AUGGAUGAGCUGAACUGUUGUGUCCCAGGGCUAUGGCAUUCUAACUGGUUCAGAAAAAUGAAGAUAUCCAAGCUAUGGCCAGAUGUAGAAGAUUGGCUUCAUAUGAAUGAAAUCAUGGGCUUUACCCCUGAUAGAAGCAAGAAUGAAAGAAGGGAAGGAACGAAGAAAAGAGGAUUUGAGAGCACUGGCGGUAGGGGGUGGGUGUGCAGGAAGACUGUGGGGGGUGCUGUCCAGUUUGGUGUGGUCUGUCAUCACAGGGAGCUGCCAGCCUCUGCGGGUGCCUCCAAGUGCCCUCUUGGGAACCUUGGGGGUGCACCCGAGUGCACCUUGUUGGGGUGGGGGGAAGGACUGAAUGGGGGCCGGCAGCGCUCAGUUUUUGUCCUGGGUCCUGGGGCUGUGAGCACAGACACGCAGUAUUUCGGCUCUGGCACCAAAGUCACCGUGAUAGAUAACCUGAAGAAGGUGAGACUCCCCAAUGUGGCUAUAUUUGAACCCUCUGAAGCAGAGAUCAACCACACCCAGAAGGCCACCCUCGUCUGCCUGGCCAGGGACUUCUACCCUGACCAUGUAGAGCUGACCUGGUGGGUGAACGGCAAGGAGGUGCACAGUGGGGUCAUCACAGACCCUGAGCCCUACCAGAAGGAUCCCAGUCAGAAGGACUCCAGCUACUAUCUGAGCAGCAGGCUCCGGGUCUCUGCUGCCUUCUGGCACAAUGCCCGCAACCACUUCCGCUGCCAAGUCCAGUUCUAUGGGAUCAGUGAGGAUGAUACAUGGGAAGAUGCAAGGAGGCCCAAACCUGUCACCCAGAACAUCAGUGCUGGGCUCUGGGGCAGAGCAGACUGUGGCAUGACCUCUGUAUCUUAUCAACAGGGCAUCAUGUCUGCCACCCUUCUCUAUGAGGUCCUGCUGGGCAAAGCCAUCUUGUAUGCUGUGCUGGUCAGUGGCCUGGUGCUGAUAGGCGUGAUCAAGACAAAGAAUUCCUGAUGUCGGCUCCAAAAAGGGCAUCCUUCAUCAUUUCCAGUCUUCACCCUGGACUUGCCCUUUAUGUGCUACCUUGAAGAUAUAUCUUUGUCCUGAUGAUUCUUGCUCCACCUCAUUUCCUCCCUCCCCACACAGAUACCUAUUUCUUCUUUCUGCUACCCUGCAGAUUAAACCUCUUCCCAAACCCUGGAUCUGAAAGAAAUGAAAUAAAUAGAAAUGUCAUUUUCAAACUCA